UACGUAGGGUGCAAGCGUUGUCCGGAUUGACUGGGCGUAAAGCGCACGCAGGCGGACGCGCGCGUGGGGUGUGAAAUCUGGCCGCUUAACGGCCAGGCGCCAUCCCAUACGGCGCGACUGGAGUGAUGCAGAGGUCGAUGGAAUUGCCGGUGUAGUGGUGAAAUGCGUAGAGAUCGGCAGGAACACCCAGGGGGAAACCAGUCGACUGGGCAUCUACUGACGCUGAGGUGCGAGAGCGUGGGGAGCGAACCGG
rnacentral:rRNA from 1 species